CCUACGGGAGGCAGCAGUGGGGAAUAUUGCGCAAUGGGCGAAAGCCUGACGCAGCGACGCCGCGUGAGGGAUGAAGGUCUUCGGAUCGUAAACCUCUGUCAGCAGGGAAGAACGGUCACUGUGCUAAUCAGCAGUGAAUUGACGGUACCUGCAAAGGAAGCACCGGCUAACUCCGUGCCAGCAGCCGCGGUAAUACGGAGGGUGCGAGCGUUAAUCGGAAUUACUGGGCGUAAAGCGCUCGUAGGCGGUAUGUCAAGUCAAGGGUGAAAUCCCCGGGCUCAACGUGGGAACUGCCUUUGAAACUGGCAAACUGGAGUGUGUGAGAGGAUAGGGGAAUUCCAGGUGUAGGAGUGAAAUGCGUAAAUAUCUGGAGGAACAUCAGUGGCGAAGGCGAUUAUCUGGCACAUAACUGACGCUGAGGAGCGAAAGCGUGGGUAGCAAACAGGAUUAGAUACCCUAGUAGUC
rnacentral:rRNA from 1 species